UACGAAGGCCCCGAGCGUUAUCCGGAAUUAUUGGGCGUAAAGGGUGCGUAGGUGGUUUUGUGCGUCUCCUGUUAAAUGUCGCCGCUCAACGGCGUCACCGCAGGGGAUACGGCAAGACUAGAGGAUGAGAGAGGCUUGUGGAAUUUACGGUGUAGGGGUGAAAUCCGUUGAUAUCGUAGAGAACACCAAAGGCGAAGGCAGCAAGCUGGCUCAUUUCUGACACUGAGGCACGAAAGCGUGGGGAGCAAAAAGG
rnacentral:misc_RNA from 1 species